rnacentral:rRNA from 1 species
AUUGAACGCUGGCGGCAGGCCUAACACAUGCAAGUCGAACGGUAACAGGAAGAAGCUUGCUUCUUUGCUGACGAGUGGCGGGCGGGUGAGUAAUGUCUGGGAAACUGCCUGAUGGAGGGGGAUAACUACUGGAAACGGUAGCUAAUACCGCAUAACGUCGCAAGACCAAAGAGGGGGACCUUCGGGCCUCUUGCCAUCGGAUGUGCCCAGACGGGAUUAGCUAGUAGGUGGGGUAACGGCUCACCUAGGCGACGAUCCCUAGCUGGUCUGAGAGGAUGACCAGCCACACUGGAACUGAGACACGGUCCAGACUCCUACGGGAGGCAGCAGUGGGGAAUAUUGCACAAUGGGCGCAAGCCUGAUGCAGCCAUGUCGCGUGUAUGAAGAAGGCCUUCGGGUUGUAAAGUACUUUCAGCGGGGAGGAAGGGAGUAAAGUUAAUACCUUUGCUCAUUGACGUUACCCGCAGAAGAAGCACCGGCUAACUCCGUG